rnacentral:rRNA from 1 species
UACGAAGGGUGCAAGCGUUAAUCGGAAUUACUGGGCGUAAAGCGUGCGUAGGUGGUGAGUUAAGUCUGUCGUGAAAGCCCCGGGCUCAACCUGGGAAUGGCGAUGGAUACUGGCUCGCUAGAGUGCGGUAGAGGAGAGUGGAAUUCCCGGUGUAGCAGUGAAAUGCGUAGAGAUCGGGAGGAACAUCAGUUGCGAAGGCGGCUCUCUGGACCAGCACUGACACUGAGGCACGAAAGCGUGGGGAGCAAACAGG